UCAGUGAGAGGAACCAGGUAACUAGGUAGAUCAGUGAGAGGAACCAGGUAACUAGGUAGAUCAGUGAGAGGAACCAGGUAACUAGGUAGGUCAGUGAGAGGAACCAGGUAACUAGGUAGAUCAGUGAGAGGAACCAGGUAACUAGGUAGAUCAGUGAGAGGAACCAGGUAACUAGGUAGAUCAGUGAGAGGAACCAGGUAACUAGGUAGGUCAGUGAGAGGAACCAGGUAACUAGGUAGAUCAGUGA